rnacentral:rRNA from 1 species
CUACGGGUCGCUGCAGUGGGGAAUAUUGGGCAAUGGGCGCAAGCCUGACCCAGCGACGCCGUGUGAGUGAUGAAGGUCUUAGGAUCGUGAGGGGGGGGCAGAGGGGAAGAGGGGGGAAAGAAUCAGAUCCUUUCCGGUGACGGUACCCUCAAAGGAAGAACCGGCUAACUCCGUGCCAGCAGCCGCGGUAAUACGGAGGGUGCAAGCGUUGUUCGAAUUUAUUGGGCGUAAAGAGCAUGUAGGCGGCUAGUUAAGUUGUCUGUGAAAGCCCUCGGCUCAACCGAGGAAGGUCAGGCAAAACUGAUUAGCUAGAGUACGAUAGGGGAGAGCGGAAUUCCCAGUGUAGAGGUGAAAUUCGUAGAUAUUGGGAGGAACACCAGCGGCGAAAGCGGCUCUCUGGCUCGAUACUGACGCUGAGAUGCGAAGGCGUGGGGAGCAAACAGGAUUAGAUACCCGUGUAGUC